GAGGGACUUGGAGUGUGGCCAUCUUUUUGGUUUGGGAUGGCAGAAAAGAGUCCUUCUUGCUGAGUGUCAGCUAAAGAAGGUUGUCGGCUGGUUGUUCCUCAACUUCUCUGAGCUAGCAGUUUUUCACCCCAGCAUCUGACUUCCAAGUCUUUGUUGACAGACUGCCAGAUCCUGACAGUGACCCAAAGUCUCCAAAGAAGAUUAUGAGGCACCGUAGUUUCUGCACCUGGACCAGUGAGCGAGAUGCUCAGAUGUGAUACCUGCUGUCUGCCGGGACCUGGCUGAGACUGGACAAAGCUGCUGGACACUGGAAAAUUAAUUGUACCCCUUUGCCUAGACAAAACAAGGUCAGUCUUUUCCAUGUCCCUCUUCCACAGAGAGAAAAAAAAACAAAACCUCUCACCUUAUAGGCCUGGCGAAGAUUGCUGUUCUUUGAGACAGCUGCCUCCAGCGGUAAUGGAGAGACUUGGGUGUGGCUAACUGUAUAUGGACUGGCUUCUAACUGGCUUCUGUCACUUUUUAGUAGAUUAGGAUGAAAUAUACCCUUCUCAGAUCUCUGAAAUAUUAAUGGUUGUCAGCUUGACAGCAUCAGACAGUUAGACGAUAUCCACAAGACGAUAGUCAGCAUGUUAGCUGAUAAUGACUAUCUACUGUUCAGGCACAAGCUCAAGGUUUUUAGGUUUAUUCUGGUUGUCAUCUAGGUAUAAACUUAGAGGGCCUUUCAUCAGGCCAAAGACACCUCUGUCCAAUCCAUACCUGGCUGUCUGGACAGAAGAAAAAUGUACAUGCUUCUAGCCCAAAUCUGUAGUUUUUGCUAGGACUCAAAAUUAUAAAUAUGUUCCUGCUGUUUGAACAGAUAUCUGUCUUUUCUGCACUGUGGGCUUCAAUAAAUAAGUUUUAACUUCUGUUCCUAGUUUAAACAUGUCUUAAACAGGUUUCUGCUUCUGGCAGACACAUAUGAAUAUAUCAGUUGCUGACUACAGGCCGUUCUAAGUAGACUGUGAGCCCUGGACUUGCUGUGGAUGUGAACCAGUCCAGCUGAUAUGGACACCCCCUGUCUCUGCAACAGAAUCUGCCAACCAGAAGCUCCUGAUGGAUUCCCCAUUGCCUAAAUUCCCUUUUUUUUGCUUUUGACUAGCAUUUCAGCCUUCUUAGGUCCCUAACUUCGUCCCAAAGUCAGCAGGAAGUUGCAUGGGAAAGAAUACGCCGCCCAUUUCCCCUGGUUAAAAUGCUAAGUCAGAAGGGACUCCUUACAUGGGGGACGCCAAUAUCUCUCACUCCCUGAUGGGGACACUGGAGAGACAGCAAUUCCAUGAAAAUGGGGGAAUGAAGGGACCAGCUCCCCAUUUCAGCAGCCAUAACAGCUGAACACGUGCUUGUCUGACCUUGUCUUAGUCACUAGGAGGUUAGGUGCCUGCCUCAUGGCAAGGAACCAAUCAGAAGUUAGCUGGUGGUGCUAUGCUUUACAGACAAGUGCACAGCAAUGACAUGCAGAGCAUAGCAACCACCCUGGGAGGGCCUAUGGGCCCUAACAACCAGUUGACCAAUCAACACAGGGCAAACCCUCCAAGCCUGGAGCCACAUCAAUCCUGAGCCUGUGCGUACCCCUAGACACUCCCCUUACGCCACCCUAUAAGAUCUCUAUGCAGACGUUUUGAGCUGUCUUUCCUAGUCAUCCGCCAU
ensembl:lncRNA